GACGAACGCUGGCGGCGUGCUUAACACAUGCAAGUCGAACGGAAAGGCCCUGCUUUUGUGGGGUGCUCGAGUGGCGAACGGGUGAGUAACACGUGAGUAACCUGCCCUUGACUUUGGGAUAACUUCAGGAAACUGGGGCUAAUACCGGAUAGGAGCUCCUGCUGCAUGGUGGGGGUUGGAAAGUUUCGGCGGUUGGGGAUGGACUCGCGGCUUAUCAGCUUGUUGGUGGGGUAGUGGCUUACCAAGGCUUUGACGGGUAGCCGGCCUGAGAGGGUGACCGGCCACAUUGGGACUGAGAUACGGCCCAGACUCCUACGGGAGGCAGCAGUGGGGAACAUUGCACAAUGGGCGGAAGCCUGAUGCAGCAACGCCGCGUGCGGGAUGACGGCCUUCGGGUUGUAAACCGCUUUCGCCUGCGACGAAGCGUGAGUGACGGUAAUGGGUAAAGAAGCACCGGCUAACUACGUG
rnacentral:rRNA from 1 species